AGUGAACGCUGGCGGUAGGCCUAACACAUGCAAGUCGAACGGCAGCACAGUAAGAGCUUGCUCUUACGGGUGGCGAGUGGCGGACGGGUGAGGAAUACAUCGGAAUCUACUUUUUCGUGGGGGAUAACGUAGGGAAACUUACGCUAAUACCGCAUACGACCUACGGGUGAAAGCAGGGGAUCUUCGGACCUUGCGCGAUUGAAUGAGCCGAUGUCGGAUUAGCUAGUUGGCGGGGUAAAGGCCCACCAAGGCGACGAUCCGUAGCUGGUCUGAGAGGAUGAUCAGCCACACUGGAACUGAGACACGGUCCAGACUCCUACGGGAGGCAGCAGUGGGGAAUAUUGGACAAUGGGCGCAAGCCUGAUCCAGCAAUACCGCGUGGGUGAAGAAGGCCUUCGGGUUGUAAAGCCCUUUUGUUGGGAAAGAAAAGCAGCAGGUUAAUACCCGGCUGUUCUGACGGUACCCAAAGAAUAAGCACCGGCUAACUUCGUG
rnacentral:rRNA from 1 species